rnacentral:piRNA from 1 species
UGGUACUUGCAGCCACUUCGAUGAAUC